AUGUGGUUUAAUUCGAAGCAACGCGAAGAACCUUACCAGGUCUUGACAUCCCCUGACAACCGAGAGAUCGGGCGUUCCCCCUUCGGGGGACAGGGUGACAGGUGGUGCAUGGUUGUCGUCAGCUCGUGUCGUGAGAUGUUGGGUUAAGUCCCGCAACGAGCGCAACCCUCGACCUUAGUUGCCAGCAUUCAGUUGGGCACUCUAAGGUGACUGCCGGCUAAAAGUCGGAGGAAGGUGGGGAUGACGUCAAAUCAUCAUGCCCCUUAUGACCUGGGCUACACACGUGCUACAAUGGGCGGUACAAAGGGUCGCGAACCCGCGAGGGGGGAGCCAAUCCCAAAAAGCCGCUCUCAGUUCGGAUUGCAGGCUGCAACUCGCCUGCAUGAAGUUGGAGUUGCUAGUAAACGCAGGUCAGCUAUACUGCGUUGAAUACGUUCCCGGGGUUU
rnacentral:rRNA from 1 species